rnacentral:lncRNA from 1 species
GUGUGGUGUGAGUGAUGAUGUGUGCGGCUAAUCUUUUUGCAAAUUCGAGCCGCCGUGGCCGUCCCAGGUCACACGGGUGACCGCGGGACAGAAUGAUAUGUCUGGUGUGUCAUCCUGUCUCCUUGUUUGUACCAAGUGAUAAUGGAUAAAAUCGACCAUUUGAUAAGAUUACAAUCUCCUUGUUUGGAGUAUAAAAUAUGGAGUAACUUAGAUCAUCUUUAACGGCGAUCCGUAAACACCUUCCUUAUCUUUGUCUGACGGCUGACUCAUACUUGCACAGGAGCCGCUCACCUCC